rnacentral:rRNA from 1 species
GUGGGGAAUCUUGCGCAAUGGGCGAAAGCCUGACGCAGCCAUGCCGCGUGAAUGAUGAAGGUCUUAGGAUUGUAAAAUUCUUUCACCGGGGACGAUAAUGACGGUACCCGGAGAAGAAGCUCCGGCUAACUUCGUGCCAGCAGUCGCGGUAAUACGAAGGGGGCUAGCGUUGCUCGGAAUUACUGGGCGUAAAGGGCGCGUAGGCGGACAGCUUAGUCAGAGGUGAAAGCCCAGGGCUCAACCUUGGAAUUGCCUUUGAUACUGGCUGUCUUGAGUUUGGGAGAGGUGAGUGGAACUCCGAGUGUAGAGGUGAAAUUCGUAGAUAUUCGGAAGAACACCAGUGGCGAAGGCGACUCACUGGCCCAAUACUGACGCUGAGGCGCGAAAGCGUGGGGAGCAAACAGGAUUAGAUACCCUUGUAGUCC